UGAACGCUGGCGGCGUGCCUAAUACAUGCACGUCGAGCGAACGGACGAGAAGCUUGCUUCUCUGAUGUUAGCGGCGGACGGGUGAGUAACACGUGGAUAACCUACCUAUAAGACUGGGAUAACUUCGGGAAACCGGAGCUAAUACCGGAUAAUAUUUUGAACCGCAUGGUUCAAAAGUGAAAGACGGUCUUGCUGUCACUUAUAGAUGGAUCCGCGCUGCAUUAGCUAGUUGGUAAGGUAACGGCUUACCAAGGCAACGAUGCAUAGCCGACCUGAGAGGGUGAUCGGCCACACUGGAACUGAGACACGGUCCAGACUCCUACGGGAGGCAGCAGUAGGGAAUCUUCCGCAAUGGGCGAAAGCCUGACGGAGCAACGCCGCGUGAGUGAUGAAGGUCUUCGGAUCGUAAAACUCUGUUAUUAGUGAAGAACAUAUGUGUAAGUAACUGUGCACAUCUUGACGGUACCUAAUCAGAAAGCCACGGCUAACUACGUG
rnacentral:rRNA from 1 species